AACUGCUUCCUUUGCCUGUAACCUCUCACUUGGUUACCUUCAACUGCAAUCAUAGCUUCUAGUGAUAAAACAUUUGAAUUAUCAGAGCUGCCGAUAGGCACUAAUAACUAACAAGUAAUCUCUAAAUGCUCUAUUGUAAUUAUAGCAGCAAUACAGUUGUGUGUCUUCUGGCUGAAGGUCAACUAGGUGAGUAUCUUGUGCUUGGCUGAGGGGAAAAUCUCUGUUGUGUUCUGCCUGCAACUCUUGUACAAAGAUUCUUUCAGGUCGCAGUGAGGGGGACCAUGCAAGCACCCUGAGCCUGUUGGAGAAAAGGUAGGCUCUAAAUGGAAUCAUACAUUAAAUAUGCAAACUAAGUAUUCCAAAGAGCUUGUAUUGAGCAACAUUGGUUAUUCAAUCCCUUUUUCAGAAGAGCUGUGAACUCGAAAGCCGAAUGUGGUCGCUCUCCGUGCUUCUACCUGGAGGGACUUCUCUUGUCGGGACACCACUGCAGGGGAGGCCCCUUCCUGUGCCAUCACCACACAAUAAGUUCUGUCCAAGAGCCCACCACACUCAGGUGAAGCCAGCUCUUCCUGCAGAAGUCAGACCAGCAGAAGGAACUUCCAGGCCCAUGAAUUCACACUUUGGAGGGACAAACAAAAAGGUGAGCAUAAAGGCAGAGUUUGAAGACUGGAACCAGUCUCUCUGUUCUGCCCUGCAAAUUAAUGGCAGUCAACAUGGCACUCAUGGCAAUAUGACUUAAACACAUCUAGGUGAAUAUCCCUUGCUAAUGGCAAGGGAUAAAACCUCGAUUGUGUUCUGUCUGCAACUUCAUAAUUCUUAAGGGUUUUCUUUUUCCCUGAGAGAACAUUCUGUAUUGAGAGUGUUCUCUCAGGUUUUGCUUUUCACCUUGUUGCAUUGGCCAAAAAAAAGCAAAAGACGCUGGUGGUUGGCGCUCCUGGUUUCCAGGACGGGGUUCAAGCCCCUGCGGUGUCCCUGCUUACUUCCAAUGCAACCUCUCUCUCUCUCUCUCUCUCUAUCUAUCUAUCUAUCUAUCUCUCCCCCUUAAGAACUAAGUGAAGCGCAAAGUGCUCCUCUGAUGCAUCACUGGUGUGUGUCUAAGACAAGGUGGAUUACAUGGAUGCUUCCCAUCCUAGCACUCCUUGCCAUAGGGAACAAAAU